GAUGAACGCUGGCGGCGUGCCUAAUACAUGCAAGUCGAGCGAACAGAUGAGGAGCUUGCUCCUCUGACGUUAGCGGCGGACGGGUGAGUAACACGUGGAUAACCUACCUAUAAGACUGGGAUAACUUCGGGAAACCGGAGCUAAUACCGGAUAAUAUAUUGAACCGCAUGGUUCAAUAGUGAAAGACGGUUUUGCUGUCACUUAUAGAUGGAUCCGCGCCGCAUUAGCUAGUUGGUAAGGUAACGGCUUACCAAGGCAACGAUGCGUAGCCGACCUGAGAGGGUGAUCGGCCACACUGGAACUGAGACACGGUCCAGACUCCUACGGGAGGCAGCAGUAGGGAAUCUUCCGCAAUGGGCGAAAGCCUGACGGAGCAACGCCGCGCGAGUGAUGAAGGUCUUCGGAUCGUAAAACUCCGUUAUUAGGGAAGAACAAAUGUGUAAGUAACUAUGCACGUCUUGACGGUACCUAAUCAGAAAGCCACGGCUAACUACGUG
rnacentral:rRNA from 1 species